GAUGAACGCUGGCGGCGUGCCUAAUACAUGCGAGUCGAGCGAACGGACGAGAAGCUUGCUUCUCUGAUGUUAGCGGCGGACGGGGGAGUAACACGUGGAUAACCUACCUAUAAGACUGGGAUAACUUCGGGAAACCGGAGCUAAUACCGGAUAAUAUUUUGAACCGCAUGGUUCAAAAGUGAAAGACGGUCUUGCUGUCACUUAUAGAUGGAUCCGCGCUGCAUUAGCUAGUUGGUAAGGUAACGGCUUACCAAGGCAACGAUGCAUAGCCGACCUGAGAGGGUGAUCGGCCACACUGGAACUGAGACACGGUCCAGACUCCUACGGGAGGCAGCAGUAGGGAAUCUUCCGCAAUGGGCGAAAGCCUGACGGAGCAACGCCGCGUGAGUGAUGAAGGUCUUCGGAUCGUAAAACUCUGUUAUUAGGGAAGAACAUAUGUGUAAGUAACUGUGCACAUCUUGACGGUACCUAAUCAGAAAGCCACGGCUAACUACGUG
rnacentral:rRNA from 1 species